GAAGGGGUCAGGGCUCAGUGGUACAGUGCCUGUUUUUGAUGCAGAAAGUCCAGGUUCAGUCCUUGGUUUCUUCA
rnacentral:tRNA from 1 species